rnacentral:tRNA from 1 species
UGGGGGAUCGUCUAAUGGCAGGACACUUGGCUCUGGACCAAGCAGUCGGGGUUCGAAUCCCUGUCCCCCAGCUA